GUUUUUUCAUGCAUAUUUACAUUUUGAGGCACUGACCCACCAUGAUUAUAACUUUUCAUGUCUAAAAUGUGGUCAUCAUCCUCCAGUUGUUGUGAUGGAUUUACACAGAAAGGGAGUGUUCAGCAUGCCAGUCAGUGACAUAAGUGAACCACAUGAAACCUACAAUGGUGAGGUGAAUUCAGAAGACUUCUGGGAGACUCUUUCAAUGGAGAGGAUCGCCGCUGGCUUGUUGAAAACUGGGGACAGAAAUCCUUAAAAUAUAAAACCCAAUUCUGAAUACUGGGCCCCCUGGAUCGGCAGAUACACACACAAGGCACCAGUUGUGUUAAACACAGAGAGGCAAAAAGUGCAGAGCACAGGUGCACAAGACCUCAUCACUGAAAUGGACAUAACCGAGGAAAGACUAAGUGAUGAAUUAAUGAAGCUAAAGGUUGCUGACUUUAGAAAACUUAGCAAGGCCUGUGGAGUUGCUACUCAAGGAUCAAAGACUGAUCUUCUAUCCAGACUGAGAGGACAGAUGCAAACCAGAACUGCAUAUGACAAAAUAUUUCAGAAAGUUUGGGGAGAAUCAGGAAUUUGUUG